rnacentral:lncRNA from 1 species
UUCUUGCCUAUAAAAGGCAACCUCAAUACCUUCAUUGAGGGGGCUGGACUCCCUGAAAAGAUUCCAGAAGUUUCAGCCAUCAAAACUCCCUCUAAAUAGCUCUUUCUUUCUAAUUUCCAGAUCUAAGUUUGAUAUUCAAAGUCCAAAACAAAAACAUCAGAAAACAGACACAAAAAAAAUGAAUAGAUUUGGGUCUGCUUGAGUUGAUUUUCUAAUUAAGUUUACCUUGGUGAAGUUUCCAAAGCAUUUAAGUUUAGUUUUGAAGGCAUUUGGGUGAUUUUCGAGUCAUUGUGCUGUUAUCCGAGUUAUUUGGUUCAUUUGCUAUUGCUGUUGGUUUUCUUUCGAAAUUUUCUGGUUGGUUGGGUUUGAAUCAUUCCUAUAUUGGCUGGUUGUUGCUGUGGCGUUUGCUGUUGCUGUUUCGAAUUACUGCUGAUCUGCUGAUACUUCUGCUCUUCUUAUAUCUCACGUCACAGGUACAUGUCCUAAAGCUCGAAUCUAUGGAGAUGAAGUGUUAUUUGAAGUGAAUCUCUGAAUUUCCCCCAUUUGCUCAACUCUAAUGUAUAAAACAAUAGUUUCUUCAUUAUUUCAUGUCAUGUACUAGACUGAUUUGGACUGUUAAAUAACAGAUCGUUAAACUAAUUAGAUAUAUUCGCCGUGUCUUAGUAAUUUAGUUUGGAUUCAGCUGGUUGCUAAUGUAAUAUAG